rnacentral:rRNA from 1 species
GCAAGUCGAGGGGUAACAUGAUAGCUUGCUAUCGAUGACGACCGGCGCACGGGUGCGUAACACGUAUGCAACCUACCUCUUACUGGGGCAUAGCCCAGAGAAAUUUGGAUUAAUUCCCCAUAGUACCACGAAGUCGCAUGGUUUUGUGGUUAAAGGUUACGGUAAGAGAUGGGCAUGCGUCCCAUUAGCUAGUUGGUGAGGUAAUAGCUCACCAAGGCAUCGAUGGGUAGGGGUUCUGAGAGGAUGAUC